rnacentral:rRNA from 1 species
CCUACGGGUGGCAGCAGUGGGGAAUAUUGGACAAUGGGGGAAACCCUGAUGCAGCAACGCCGCGUGAGGGAAGACGGUUUUCGGAUUGUAAACCUCUGUUCGUAGUGAAGAAAAAUGACGGUAGCUAAGGAGCAAGCCACGGCCCACGACGUGUCAGCACCGGCGGUAAUACGUAGGUGGCCAGCGUUGUCCGGAAUUACUGGGUGUAAAGGGAGCGCAGGGGGGAAGCCAAGUCAGCUGUGAAAACUACGGGCUUAACUUGUAGACUGCAGUUGAAACUGGUUUUCUUGAGUGAAGGAGAGGUUGGCGGAAUUCCGAGUGUAGCGGUGAAAUGCGUAGAUAUUCGGAGGAACACCGGUGGCGAAGGCGGCCAACUGGGCUUUAACUGACGCUGAGGCUCGAAAGUGUGGGGAGCAAACAGGAUUAGAUACCCCUGUAGUC